AUUGAACGCUGGCGGCAGGCCUAACACAUGCAAGUCGAGCGGAUGAAGGGAGCUUGCUCCUGGAUUCAGCGGCGGACGGGUGAGUAAUGCCUAGGAAUCUGCCUGGUAGUGGGGGAUAACGUCCGGAAACGGGCGCUAAUACCGCAUACGUCCUGAGAGAGAAAGGGGGGGAUCUUCGGACCUCACGCUAUCAGAUGAGCCUAGGUCGGAUUAGCUAGUUGGUGGGGUAAAGGCUUACCAAGGCGACGAUCCGUAACUGGUCUGAGAGGAUGAUCAGUCACACUGGAACUGAGACACGGUCCAGACUCCUACGGGAGGCAGCAGUGGGGAAUAUUGGACAAUGGGCGAAAGCCUGAUCCAGCCAUGCCGCGUGUGUGAAGAAGGUCUUCGGAUUGUAAAGCACUUUAAGUUGGGAGGAAGGGCAGUAAGUUAAUACCUUGCUGUUUUGACGUUACCAACAGAAUAAGCACCGGCUAACUUCGUG
rnacentral:rRNA from 1 species